rnacentral:rRNA from 1 species
GACGAACGCUGGCGGCGUGCUUAACACAUGCAAGUCGAACGCUGAAGCUCAGCUUUUGUUGGGUGGAUGAGUGGCGAACGGGUGAGUAACACGUGAGUAACCUGCCUCCUUCUUUGGGAUAACGCCCGGAAACGGGUGCUAAUACUGGAUAUUCACUGGUCUUCGCAUGGGGGUUGGUGGAAAGGGUUUUUCUGGUGGGGGAUGGGCUCGCGGCCUAUCAGCUUGUUGGUGGGGUGAUGGCCUACCAAGGCUUUGACGGGUAGCCGGCCUGAGAGGGUGACCGGUAACAUUGGGACUGAGAUACGGCCCAGACUCCUAAGGGAGGCAGAAGUGGGGAAUAUUGCACAAUGGGCGCAAGCCUGAUGCAGCGACGCGGCGUGAGGGAUGGAGGCCUUCGGGUUGUGAACCUCUUUCGCUCAUGGUCAAGCCGCAACAAUGGUUGUGGUGAGGGUAGUGGGUAAAGAAGCGCCGGCUAACUACGUG